rnacentral:rRNA from 1 species
CAGCCGCCGCGGGAACACCGGCGGCCCGAGUGGUGAUCGUGAUUAUUGGGUCUAAAGGGUCCGUAGCCGGUUUGGUCAGUCCUCCGGGAAAUCUGAUAGCUCAACUAUUAGGCUUUCGGGGGAUACUGCCAGACUUGGAACCGGGAGAGGUAAGAGGUACUACAGGGGUAGGAGUGAAAUCUUGUAAUCCCUGUGGGACCACCUGUGGCGAAGGCGUCUUACCAGAACGGGUUCGACGGUGAGGGACGAAAGCUGGGGGCACGAACCGGAUUAGAUACCCGGGUAGUCCCAGCCGUAAACGAUGCUCGCUAGGUGUCAGGCAUGGCGCGACCGUGUCUGGUGCCGCAGGGAAGCCGUGAAGCGAGCCACCUGGGAAGUACGGCCGCAAGGCUGAAACUUAAAGGAAUUGGCGGGGGAGCACAACAACGGGUGGAGCCCUGCGGUUUAAUUGGACUCAACGCCGGACAACUCACCGGGGGCGACAGCAAUAUGUAGGCCAAGCUGAAGACUUUGCCUGAAUCGCUGAGAGGUGGUGCAUGG